UACGGGAGGCAGCAGUGGGGAAUUUUGGACAAUGGGGGCAACCCUGAUCCAGCAAUGCCGCGUGAGUGAAGAAGGCCUUCGGGUUGUAAAGCUCUUUUGUCAGGGAAGAAACAGCAGCUCUAACACAGUCUGCGAAUGACGGUAC
rnacentral:rRNA from 1 species